AUGGCGCUGAGCGGCACUGGUCAAUCUGGACACCUACCUCCAGCAUCCCUCGCGCACGCGCCCACCGGAGGCGGAGAGCAACCACCAUCAUCCACCGUGCCGGCCAGGCAGCAGCUUCCAGCUGCGUCCGCGGCACCGACGGAACAGAAGCCUCCUGCAUCCGCCCUUUCCGGGCCGGGUACCCUUGGAGGAACGGUGAGCUCGUGCUUGGCUGACAAAUUGACUAUGGAGCAGGAAGGCAUCGGUGGCGAGGAUGCAACACUGUCGCCCGUGUCGCUUCUCGACCAGGACCCCUUCGAGGGCAGUUCCUCCUCUUUCGAGUGCGCCAAGAUCCAGCACCUCGUGCAGGAGGUGGGGGCUACGGCAGAGCCCGAGCAAGCGGCUGAUGCGGCGGCAAAGGCCAAUCAAAAGCCAGAGAGAGAGACGGCGGGGGAGGCAGAACCCGUGCCCCAGCAAGAUCAAGAACCAGCGCCGGACAAUGCUAUGAUCAGGGUGCAUAGCAUUGCCCGUCAGCUCAAGGGCAAUGCUAUGCACCCUGAGAUGCUGAAGCCCGUCACCUGCGGGCACUGCGGGCAGCUGGAAGAUCUUAGCCGGCCUCCGACGCCUGUUGAAGAUGCUACUGACGAAAGUCCGCCGCCGGAUCACCUGGUGACCGUGUCGGAUGCAGUGCCUGUCGACCAGAUCGUCUUCAAGGGGAACUCCUGUCUCACCUGCGCCAAGAUAAUCUACGAGAAGACCCAGGCAUCUUUCGAGCAAGCGGGCAGCGACACACCGCUGCACUAUGCUGCCAGGUCCAGAAAUUUCAAAAUGCUUUUCCAUUUCAUUUGUCUGAUCGGCAAUGAGUACGGCCUUGGAAGAGUGGCACAGGUGCUUAGGAGGCUCAACGGUCGUAGCGAGACGGCCUUGCACGGGGCGAUAUGGCAGGGAGACCUGUACAUGGCUGAGUUCCUGAUGCUGGUGGAUCCUGAGCUGGCCCAGUAUCCUCCACCUGGUCAGGGCACCUCACCGCUAUACCUAGCUGUCUCCUUGGGAUUCACAGACAUCGCACGGAUGUUGCACAGCAGAAGUGGCGGCAAGCUGUCCUACUCCGGUCCAGAUGGACAGAACGCACUGCAUGCUGCGGCUCUCCAUGCCUACGAUAUGAUACAAACGCUGCUGAAUUGGGAUGAGGAUCUUAGCAAAGGGAAUGACGGAAACGACAGCACCCCUCUUCACUAUGUGGUUUUGGCGCAGCGUGACCCAUUACUAUUUCGUAUAUAUGGCUUUCGUUUCCCCAACUUCUGGUUUCCGUGGGAAAAACAUGCAACAGGGCAAGUACUUCGGGCUAACACAUCUGCAGCGUGCCAGCCGGAUAAAAAUGGUUUGUUUCCUGUACACAUCGCUUCCUUGAUGAACAGGAAGACCGCCAUCCGUAUUCUGCUCAAAGAAUGCCCUCGUUGCAUCGGAUCUCGUGAUAACCAGGGAAGAUCCUUCCUUCAUACUGCUAUCCAGAACAAGAGUUCCCUUGUAGUGGGAUAUGCUAGCGGAGAAUCAAGUGUUGCAUCCAUAAUGAACGCUCAGGACAACGAUGGCAACACCGCGCUACACCUAGCUGUCGAUGUUGGGGAUCUAUCCGGCUUUUUUACUCUGCUGAGGAACCCAAAAGUAUUAUUAGAUAUCAGAAAUAACAAGGAUCAAACUCCUCUGGAUCUAGCAUGGAGUAAGAGGAACCGAACAGUUUUUUCGUACGGACGGAAUCCGGAUCGAGUGAUUUACUGGACCCUCCGACGUGCCGGUGCUAGUCAUGCUAGCUCUUGGAAAGAUCGUCUUCAAGAACUUUGCAAUUCCGCGCCAAUGGAAAGUCAAGAGGACAAAGAGAUAAAGGAGGAAAAAGAGAAAGAAGAGUCAGCUAACAUGACAGAUUCGACUCGGACAUUGGGCAUUGGCUCGGUACUCAUAGCUUCAGUGACAUUCACUGCAACUUUCACCGUACCUGCAGGAAUCAAAGCCAGUGACCAUACCACCAAUGGCACGCCAGGAAUUCUUGGUACGUGGUAUUUCAAUGCGUUCAUGAUGGCCAAUACGCUGGCUUUCAUCUGCUCAUCCAUAGCGACUGUUGGCCUCAUGUUCGCCGGCAUGCCCCUGGUCAAAUUACCAAUCCGCCGCAGGCACUUUCUCAUAUCGGUCUUCUUCGCCUCGACUUCACUCACUUGUUUGAAUGUUGCCUUUGCACUAGGAGUAUAUAUGGUGCUGGCUCCAGUUGGUCUUAAGACUGCAAUUGCCAUAUGUGUCAUCACCCCACUUGUGCUGCUCUACAGGAAUGCAGAUAAUGUUCAUAAAAUGGUUAUUACUUCAUGGCUGAUAUAUGUCAGACGGGGGUUUAUCUUUGCAUGUUGUUCAUUAUACGCACUAGUUAUCAACGGAUAA
rnacentral:rRNA from 1 species